rnacentral:rRNA from 1 species
CACAUCAGCUCGAGUGAGGAUACGCGCUAAACUUAAACAUAUCAGUCGGCGCAGCAAUAAAAACUAACCAGGAUUCCCUUAGUAACGGCGAGUGAAGUGGGAAAUAUACUAGUUCAGCCCAACGAUAGAAUCCAUUCUUAGCUGGCUAAGCUUCUGUUUUCCAGCUGGAAGGAAUUGUAGCAUCGUAAUAACACACAUUCUUCAAAAUUAAAUUUGUGUUGUAUCUACUCAACGUAAAAAUUAUUAUUUUUAUCGCGGCAACGUAAUAAAAAACUACAUACUUUACCCAAACACACAGCGUUUAGCGCUGGAAAGCAAGUCUAUAUCAUGCCAUAGAGUGUGACAGCCACGUUUGCCAUUGGUAAACUAACGUAGCACGCAUAUAAUUUUUUUUUACAAGAUACGUAAUUCAUAAAUUAUGAGACACUCAUAAACCCUGAGUCGAGUUGUUUGGGACUACAGCUCAAAUUGUUUGGUGGUGGUAAUGACACAUCAAAGGCUAAAUAUUGGUUUUUUAUACGAUUGCAACGGAGACCGAUAGCAAACAAGUACCGUAAGGGAACGAUGAAAAGCACCCUUUUUAGCACGUGCAUCACUCUGUGUAUGCACAAGCUCCAUCGGGAGUGAAAGAGAGAGU